rnacentral:rRNA from 1 species
GCGCUAAUAGAUGAGCCCAAGUCGGAUUAGCUAGUUGGUAGGGUAAGGGCCUACCAAGGCAACGAUCCGUAACUGGUCUGAGAGGACGACCAGUCACACCGGAACUGAGACACGGUCCGG